AUUGAACGCUGGCGGCAGGCCUAACACAUGCAAGUCGAGCGGAUGAAGGGAGCUUGCUCCUGGAUUCAGCGGCGGACGGGUGAGUAAUGCCUAGGAAUCUGCCUGGUAGUGGGGGAUAACGUCCGGAAACGGGCGCUAAUACCGCAUGCGUCCUGAGGGAGAAAGUGGGGGAUCUUCGGACCUCACGCUAUCAGAUGAGCCUAGGUCGGAUUAGCUAGUUGGUGGGGUAAAGGCCUACCAAGGCGACGAUCCGUAACUGGUCUGAGAGGAUGAUCAGUCACACUGGAACUGUGACACGGUCCAGACUCCUACGGGAGGCAGCAGUGGGGAAUAUUGGACAAUGGGCGAAAGCCUGAUCCAGCCAUGCCGCGUGUGUGAAGAAGGUCUUCGGAUUGUAAAGCACUUUAAGUUGGGAGGAAGGGCAGUAAGUUAAUACCUUGCUGUUUUGACGUUACCAACAGAAUAAGCACCGGCUAACUUCGUG
rnacentral:rRNA from 1 species